rnacentral:lncRNA from 1 species
CUCGCAUUGGUUGCGCUCUUUGACUGGGAACUUGAACAACUCGAUGUAAAAACCGCUUUUUUAUAUGAAGAGCUUGAUGAACAAAUCUUUAUAAAUCAACCAAAAGGCUUUAAAGACAAGUUAAAACCUGAUUAUGUGUGUUUUCUGAAAAGAUCCCUAUAUGGUCUAAAGCAAUCACCUAGACAGUGGUACAAGAGGUUUGAUUCCUUUGUACUCACUAUAGGAUUUCAAAGAAGUAAAUUCGAUCACUGCCUAUUCUUUCAACACAACGAGACUGAUAACAAUUAUUUGUUCUUGUUGCUCUAUGUGGACGACAUGCUUUUAGUUGGAUCAUCUCCUAAGUGGAUAAACAAUAUAAAAGCAGAUCUUAGUGGAAAAUUUGACAUGAAAGACCUAGGAAAUGCUAAAAGAAUUAUAGGCAUGGAAAUAGAACGAAAUAUGUCAAAUUCCAUCGUAUUCUUGCAUCAGUCUCCAUACAUAUCAAAGGUGUUGAAAAGGUUUGAUAUGAGUGACUGCAAACCUGUCACGUUGCCUCUUGCAAACCAUUUUGUUCUAUCUAAAGAGCAAACUCCCUGCAAUAAACAUGAAGUGGAAUACAUGAGUAAAAUUCCAUACUCAAAUGUGAUUAGUUCCAUAAUAUAUUUGAUGGUUUGCAUUAGACCGGACUUAGGAUUCGCUGUUAGUACUCUCUGUAGGUACAUGUCUAAUCCAGGUCCUGAACAUUGGAAAGCAUUAAAGUGGCUUUUAAGAUAUUUGAAGGGUACAAGUGACGUAGAUCUAAAAUUUAGUGCUAAUAAGGAAGGAGUGAAAUUAAAGGGUUUUGUAGAUGCUGACUAUGCAGGAGAUAAGGAUGGUAGAAAAUCAACUUCCUCUUACGUAUUCACCUUAUCAAAUUCGUGUGUUAGUUGGAAAUCACAGUUACAACACAUAGUUGCACUAUGCACUACAGAGUCAGAAUAUAUUGCCACCACUGAAGCAAUUAAAGAGGCUCUAUGGCUUAGAGGUCUACUUCAUGAACUGAGUGUCUUGAAUGAGUAUGUGGUUGUGUAUUCUGAUAGUCAGUCAUCCAUACAUCUGUGUAAGAAUCCUGUUUUUCACGAACGCACUAAACAUAUCGAUGUUAGGUUACACUUCAUUAGGGAUAUAAUAUCACAAGAAGUAGUAAGACUUGAAAAAAUUCACACACAAUAUAAUCCUUCAGAUAUGGGCACGAAAGUGCUGCCACUGGUAAAGUUUAGAAGUUGCAAGGAGCUUCUAAACAUCGGUACAGGUAAAUGAUUUUCAAUUUUAUCGAUUUUCUGUUAGAGGUGUCACUAAUGGAAAACGUUUUUCUUUGCAGGUCCUUUGACACCAAGGUGGAGGUUGUUAGACAUCAUGUUGUCAAACGACUUUCCGGGCGAUGAUGAAAAUCAGUUUUAUCAAUCGACAUGAAUGACUGAACGAUAAAUCAACACCGAAUAAUGGGAUGACCCGACCUAGCGUUGCUUUACCUAUUGGAGGGCUAAUAAUCUUUGUGGCUUGUUGGUGUGCUAUUGGGACUUAACCCUAGUCGAGCCUACUUACCAUAUUGUGACUUACCUUAAGUUGGCCAUUGGACUAUUAUAAAUUGG